rnacentral:rRNA from 1 species
GACGAACGCUGGCGGCGUGCUUAACACAUGCAAGUCGAACGGAAAGGCCCUGCGCUUGUGGGGUGCUCGAGUGGCGAACGGGUGAGUAACACGUGAGUAACCUGCCCUUGACUUUGGGAUAACUUCAGGAAACUGGGGCGAAUAUCGGAUAGGAGCUCUUGCUGCAUGGGGGGGGUUGGAAAGAUUCGGCGGUGGGGGAUGGACUCGCUGGUUAUCAGCUUGUUUGUGGGGUAGUGGCUUACCAAGGGUUUGACGGAUAGCCGGCCUGAGAGGGUGACCGGGCACAUGAGGACUGAGAUACGGCGCAGUAGCCUACGGGAGGCAACAGGGGGGAAUAUUGCAGAGUAAGCGGAAGUCAGAUGCAGCAACGCCGCGUGCGGAAUGACGGGCUUCGAGUUGUAAACCGAUUUCGACGGUGACGAAGAGUGAGUGACGGUAAUGGGUAAAGAAGCCCCGGCUAACUACGUG